rnacentral:rRNA from 1 species
ACUACCUACGGGACGCAGCAGUGGGGAAUAUUGCACAAUGGGGGAAACCCUGAUGCAGCAACGCCGCGUGAAGGAAGACGGUUUUCGGAUUGUAAACUUCUUUUCUUAGUGAAGAAGCAAGUGACGGUAGCUAGGGAAUAAGCAUCGGCUAACUACGUGCCAGCAGCCGCGGUAAUACGUAGGAUGCGAGCGUUAUCAGGAAUUACUGGGUGUAAAGGGAGCGCAGGCGGGACUGCAAGUUGGAUGUGAAAAACCGCAGCUUAAAUGGGGAGCUGCAUCCAAAACCGGAGUUCUUGAG